UGGGGAAUUUUGCGCAAUGGGGGCAACCCUGACGCAGCAACGCCGCGUGCGGGACGACGGCCUUCGGGUUGUAAACCGCUUUCAGCAGGGAAGAAAUUCGACGGUACCUGCAGAAGAAGCUCCGGCUAACUACGUGCCAGCAGCCGCGGUAAUACGUAGGGAGCGAGCGUUAUCCGGAUUCAUUGGGCGUAAAGAGCGCGUAGGCGGCCUCUCAAGCGGGAUCUCUAAUCCGAGGGCUCAACCCCCGGCCGGAUCCCGAACUGGGAGGCUCGAGGUAGGUAGAGGCAGGCGGAAUUCCCGGUGUAGCGGUGGAAUGCGCAGAUAUCGGGAAGAACACCGAUGGCGAAGGCAGCCUGCUGGGCCGCAACUGACGCUGAGGCGCGAAAGCUAGGGGAGCGAACAGG
rnacentral:rRNA from 1 species